AGUGAACGCUGGCGGUAGGCCUAACACAUGCCAGUCGAACGGCAGCACAGUAAGAGCUUGCUCUUACGGGUGGCGAGUGGCGGACGGGUGAGGAAUACAUCGGAAUCUACUUUUUCGUGGGGGAUAACGUAGGGAAACUUACGCUAAUACCGCAUACGACCUACGGGUGAAAGCAGGGGAUCUUCGGACCUUGCGCGAUUGAAUGAGCCGAUGUCGGAUUAGCUAGUUGGCGGGGUAAAGGCCCACCAAGGCGACGAUCCGUAGCUGGUCUGAGAGGAUGAUCAGCCACACUGGAACUGAGACACGGUCCAGACUCCUACGGGUGGCAGCAGUGGGGAAUAUUGGACAAUGGGCGCAAGCCUGAUCCAGCCAUACCGCGUGGGUGAAGAAGGCCUUCGGGUUGUAAAGCCCUUUUGUUGGGAAAGAAAAGCAGCAGGUUAAUACCCCGCUGUUCUGACGGUACCCAAAGAAUAAGCACCGGCUAACUUCGUG
rnacentral:rRNA from 1 species